AGGGAAUAUUGGUCAAUGGGCGAGAGCCUGAACCAGCCAUGCCGCGUGCAGGAAGACAGCUUUCUGAGUUGUAAACUGCUUUUAUAUGGGAAGAAAAAGGCCUUGCGAGGCAAAUUGCCGGUACCAUAUGAAUAAGCACCGGCUAACUCCGUGCCAGCAGCCGCGGUAAUACGGAGGGUGCAAGCGUUGUCCGGAUUUAUUGGGUUUAAAGGGUGCGUAGGCGGAUCUUUAAGUCAGUGGUGAAAUCCUGCAGCUUAACUGUAGAACUGCCAUUGAUACUGGAGAUCUUGAGUAUACUAGAGGUAGGCGGAAUUUAUGGUGUAGCGGUGAAAUGCAUAGAUACCAUAAAG
rnacentral:rRNA from 1 species